CAAAAGUUUCAGCCCCCAGAACUGGGCCCAGCGAGUCGGUCCUUAGGGAGCCGCUUGUGCCCGGGUUUCCCACAGUGACGGGCCCACAACUAGUUGAGCACUUAGAAACUGGAUGACCAUGUGUUAGUGACACUGAUGGUGAUUCCUGUUCAGGGCAAUGGGGGUUAAGUAACUUGCCCAGGGUCACACAGCUAGUAAGUGUCAAGUGUCUGAGGCCGGAUUUGAACUCAGGUACUCCUGAAUCCAGGGCCGGUGCUUUAUCCACUGUGCCACCUAGCUGCCCCUAUAUGCCUUUAUUCAAACUGCUA